GACGAACGCUGGCGGCGUGCCUAAUACAUGCAAGUCGAGCGAAUCAUUAGGAGCUUGCUCCUGAUGGUUAGCGGCGGACGGGUGAGUAACACGUGGGCAACCUGCCUAUAAGACUGGGAUAACUUCGGGAAACCGGAGCUAAUACCGGAUAAUCCUUUUCCACACAUGUGGGAAAGCUGAAAGACGGUUUCGGCUGUCACUUAUAGAUGUGCCCGCGGCGCAUUAGCUAGUUGGUGAGGUAAUGGCUCACCAAGGCGACGAUGCGUAGCCGACCUGGGAGGGUGAUCGGCCACACGGGGACUGAGACACGGCCCAGACUCCUACGGGAGGCAGCAGUAGGGAAUCUUCCGCAAUGGACGAAAGUCUGACGGAGCAACGCCGCGUGAACGAUGAAGGCCUUCGGGUCGUAAAGUUCUGUUGUUAGGGAAGAACAAGUAUCGGAGUAACUGCCGGUACCUUGACGGUACCUAACCAGAAAGCCACGGCUAACUACGUGCCAGCCGCCGCCGUAA
rnacentral:rRNA from 1 species